UACGUAGGGUGCAAGCGUUAAUCGGAAUUACUGGGCGUAAAGCGUGCGCAGGCGGUUGUGCAAGACCGAUGUGAAAUCCCCGGGCUUAACCUGGGAAUGGCAUUGGUGACUGCACGGCUAGAGUGUGUCAGAGGGGGGUAGAAUUCCACGUGUAGCAGUGAAAUGCGUAGAGAUGUGGAGGAACACCGAUGGCGAAGGCAGCCCCCCUGGGUCAAGAUUGACGCUCAUGCACGAAAAGCGUGGGGGAGCAAACAGG
rnacentral:rRNA from 1 species